rnacentral:rRNA from 1 species
AGAGUUUGAUCAUGGCUCAGAUUGAACGCUGGCGGAAUGCUUACACGUGCAAGUCGAACGGCAGCACGGGGCAACCUGGUGGCGAGUGGCGAACGGGUGAGUAAUACAUCGGAACGUGCCCAAUCGUGGGGGAUAACGUAGCGAAAGUUACGCUAAUACCGCAUACGAUCUACGGAUGAAAGCGGGGGAUCGCAAGACCUCGCGCGAGUGGAGCGGCCGAUGUCAGAUUAGGUAGUUGGUGGGGUAAAGGCUCACCAAGCCAACGAUCUGUAGCUGGUCUGAGAGGACGACCAGCCACACUGGAACUGAGACACGGUCCAGACUCCUACGGGAGGCAGCAGUGGGGAAUUUUGGACAAUGGGCGCAAGCCUGAUCCAGCCAUUCCGCGUGCAGGAUGAAGGCCUUCGGGUUGUAAACUGCUUUGUACGGAACGAAACGGCGAGCUCUAAUACAGUUUGCUAAUGACGGUACCGUAAGAAUAAGCACCGGCUAACUACGUG